GCUUGUCUCAGGACUAGCCAUGCAUGCCUAAGUUCAUACCAUAUAAAGGUGAAACUGCGAAUCGCUCAGUAAAUCAGUUAUUGUUUCUUUGAUUGUACCGGGACGCUGCCUUCACCGGCAGUGUCACACAUUGGAUAACUCUGGGAAACUAGAGCUAAUACAUGUCAACUGCUAUCUCGGGGUAGCGUGCAUUUGUUCGCUUGACAAAACCAACACUGACCGAUCUAAGCGUUGUGGCUGGCUACUGGGUGCGUGCAAACGUGUCCGGUUUUCAGCUGUGGCGUGCACGGGUCGGCCACGUACACGGUGAAUCUGAAUAACUGAUGCUGAUCGUACAGGGCCUACGUGCCCACGAUAUUUCAAUCAAAUUUCUGCCCUAUCAUAUUUGUUGGUAGAGUAGCGGCCUACCAAGGUGAUGACGGGUAACGGGGAAUCAGGGUUCGAUUCCGGAGAGGGAGCCUGAGAAAUAGCUACCACGUCCAAGGAUGGCAGCAGGCGCGCAAACUAUCCAAUCCAGAUACUGGGAGAUGGUGACGAGACAUAUUGGGACUCACCAGCACCGCUGGUCGAGUUACCAGAUAGACUACAACCUAAAACAGUGCUAAAACAAUCAACAGGAGGGCAAGUCUGGUGCCAGCAGCCGCGGUAAUACCAGCUCCUGUGGCCUAUAUGGUCGUUGUUGCGGUUAAAAAGCUCGUAGUUGAAAUACGGUGCGCUCGAGAGCCGUAUCGGUGGUAAGCCUGCCCAGGGUGAACGCCACCUCGUGUGUGCAGCGUGCCAGUGUGGUCAACACACUGGGCCUGUGUGCCGAGUGCUGGUGCCUGUGACGCAGUGUUGUAGCCUGGCGUGUUCAGUGCCCAGGCUGGUGAUGUGCGUGUCAGUUGUGCCUAGAUGUGUGCACGCAAGUGUGUGUGUCCUGGUGUGACUGGCGUGUGUGUCACUGGCCUGCGAGUGUCGGCGCCAGGCUAUUUUAUCGCUGAGACGGCAUUAGAGUGUGCUUUCUCGUCCGGCUUCAGUGAAAAAUUACCCUUCACUGGGUACACUGAACGCCGGGCGAAUUGUGCCUUGAGUAAAAUAGAGUGCUCAAAGCAGGCUAGGCAUGUAACAGUGUCAUUGCCCGUAUACUCCAGCAUGGAACGAAUGUCCAAUUGCUUGAACCACCCUGCGGCCUGGUUAGUUGGUUGAGCGUGAGAGCGCUCAGUGUGCAGGGAGAGUGCUCGCGUAUGUCGCGGGAGAUGCUGCCUUGUGCACGCCAGGUCGUAUCCGUGGGAGUGUGUACCCAGUAAAUGUGUGUGUGCCUUGUGCACGUGUGCAAUGCGAGCACAGCUCCGUGGAGAAACCUGCAUGUGAUAUACUAUUGUAAUAAUAGAUGAUAUUGUGUGCAGGCCGCGGUGUGUAAUGUAAUAUAUUUAUAUUAUCUGUGUCAAAAUGUCCAGUGUGUGUGCAUCUUUGCGUGUCACUACUGGCACGCGUGCGUCUCCAUGUGUGCCAGUGCGUGGCUUCACUUGGGGGCACUGGAACCAGCUCUUCAGUGUCUUUCAUCCUCACCCCAGGGGUCUGCUGACUCCUGGUUACGUGCAGGUGAGCCUGUUGGGCCCAGUGACCUACCAGUGGCCAUUUACCCGUACACCACUUCCAGUGUGUGUACGUGGCGUGCUGUGUGUGCGUGAGGGGCGCAGCCUGUGUCUGUGUGUUAUAUCAUCAGACACAGUGUCUUCAGCGCCUGUCAAUUUGUGGUGCAUGUGUAAUGAGAUGUGUGCGUGUAAACUGAUGACUGUUUUCUCGCCCUGGGAUCGAUGCCGCUCCCACGUAUGGGUAUCGGUUAACAGAAACAUUUGGGGGCAUUGGUAUUUGGCCGCGAGAGGUGAAAUUCUAAGACCGGCCAAAGACUGACGAUUGCGAAGGCAUUUGCCAAAGAUGCGUUCAUUAAUCAAGGACUAAGGUUGGUGGAUCGAAGACGAUUAGAUACCGUCGUAGUACCAACUGUAAACUAUGCCAACCAGGGCUCAGGCCGGAUCGGCAAAUAUUGUGUACCAAUGUGUGCACAUAUUGCAGUGAUCCAGGUUGGGCCCCCCGGGAAACCUAAAGUGUUUGGGUUCCGGGGGGAGUAUGGUUGCAAGGCUGAAACUUAAAGGAAUUGACGGAAGGGCACCACCAGGAGUGGAGCCUGCGGCCUAAUUUGACUCAACACGGGGAAUCUCACCAGGUCCGGACAUCGGAAGGAUUGACAGACUGAUAGAUCUUUCAUGAUUCGGUGAAUGGUGGUGCAUGGCCGUUCUUGGUUGGUGGAGUGAUUUGUCUGGUUUAUUCCGUGAACGAGCGCAACCACAGCCUCUAUUUUGGCCGUACGAAGUGACAACGCGUGUGUGUGUUUGCAAAAAUGUGUGCACGCGAGCACACGUGUGGUGGCAGCGCAAGCUGUCACUGUGCGUGUGUGAAUGCCGUCGGCUGUGCCGGUGCGUUAGUCUCUGUGCGCUGUCGGUGGUUGGCCAAUGCUCAAUGGCCGGGGAGUUGCUGGUGCAUAUCCCAAACGGGGCAGUGUCUGAUCGGCAAUGUCGCUGGCAGCGCGUCCAGGUGGCAAUCGUGAUGAAUUGCCAUAUUCUGGCGCUGUACAGUUGCCGGUAGUGUGGUGCUGCUUCGGUGCAUCAGUGCCCUGGCUGUUGGGUGGUCAACUGGCUGGUGGCGUGUGGAGAUGUGCUGGUGUUUUGGUCGAUGCGUGUUCGUGCGCCUUCAUAGAGGGACUACCGGUGGCAAGCCGGGGGAAGUGUGACAAUAGCAGGUCAGUGAUGCCCUUAGAUGUUCUGGGCUGCACGCGCGCUACAAUGGCGACGUCAAUGAGUUUUCUGCAUCGAAAGAUGUGGGUAAUCUGUCAAUCGUCGCCGUGCUGGGGAUUGAGCCUUGAAAUUAUUGCUCAUGAACCUGGAAUUCCUCGUAAGUACGAGUCACCAGCUCGUGCUGAAUACGUCUCUGCCCUUUGUACACACCGCCCGUCGCUACUACCGAUUGAAUGAUUCGGUGAGGGCAAGGGAUUGAUCGGUCUCACUGUUUGUAGACUGGUCGAGAGCCUGUCCAAGUAGCAUCAGUCAG
rnacentral:rRNA from 1 species